UACGAGGGGGGCUAGCGUUGUUCGGAAUUACUGGGCGUAAAGCGCGCGCAGGCGGCGUGUCAAGUCAGAGGUGAAAUCCCGGAGCUUAACUUCGGAAUUGCCUUUGAAACUGGCAUGCUAGAGUCUGGGAGGGGAUAGCGGAAUUCCUAAUGUAGAGGUGAAAUUCGUAGAUAUUAGGAGGAACACCGGUGGCGAAGGCGGCUAUCUGGACCAGAACUGACGCUGAGGCGCGAAAGCGUGGGGAUCAAACAGG
rnacentral:rRNA from 1 species